rnacentral:rRNA from 1 species
AAUAUUGGACAAUGGGGGCAACCCUGAUCCAGCCAUGCCGCGUGUGUGAAGAAGGACUUCGGAUUGUAAAGCACUUUAAGUUGGGAGGAAGGGCUUUAGGCUAAUACUCUGUAGUUUUGCCGUUACCAACAGAAUAAGCUCUGGCUAACGUUGUUCCAGCAGCCGCAGUAAUACAGAGGGUGCAAGCGUUAAUCGGAAUUACUGGGCGUAAAGCGCGCGUAGGUGGUUCAGUAAGAUGGGUGUGAAAUCCCCGGGCUCAACCUGGGAACUGCUUUCAAAACUGGCAAGCUAGUGUAAGGCAGAGGGUGGUGGAAUUUCCUGUGUAGCGGUGAAAUGAGUAGAUAUAGGAAGGAACACCAGUGGCGAAGGCGACUACCUGGACUGAUACUGACGCUGAGGUGCGAAAGCGUGGGGAGCAAACA